ACGAACGCUGGCGGCAGGCCUAACACAUGCAAGUCGAGCGAGGACUUCGGUUCUAGCGGCGGACGGGUGAGUCACGCGUGGGAAUGUGCCCUUCUCUACGGAAUAGCCCUGGGAAACUGGGAGUAAUACCGUAUACGCCCUAUUGGGGAAAGAUUUAUCGGAGAAGGAUCAGCCCGCGUUGGAUUAGGUAGUUGGUGGGGUAAUGGCCUACCAAGCCGACGAUCCAUAGCUGGUUUGAGAGGAUGAUCAGCCACACUGGGACUGAGACACGGCCCAGACUCCUACGGGAGGCAGCAGUGGGGAAUCUUAGACAAUGGGGGCAACCCUGAUCUAGCCAUGCCGCGUGAGUGAUGAAGGCCUUAGGGUUGUAAAGCUCUUUCAGCUGGGAAGAUAAUGACGGUACCAGCAGAAGAAGCCCCGGCUAACUCCGUG
rnacentral:rRNA from 1 species